rnacentral:rRNA from 1 species
AUUGAACGCUGGCGGCAGGCUUAACACAUGCAAGUCGAACGAGUGGCGGACGGGUGAGUAAUGCUUGGGAAUCUGGCUUAUGGAGGGGGAUAACGACGGGAAACUGUCGCUAAUACCGCGUACCAUAGGAUGAGCCCAAGUGGGAUUAGGUAGUUGGUGGGGUAAUGGCCUACCAAGCCGACGAUCUCUAGCUGGUCUGAGAGGAUGACCAGCCACACCGGGACUGAGACACGGCCCGGACUCCUACGGGAGGCAGCAGUGGGGAAUAUUGCGCAAUGGGGGCAACCCUGACGCAGCCAUGCCGCGUGAAUGAAGAAGGCCUUCGGGUUGUAAAGGACUUUUGUCAGGGAAGCGGUACCUGAAGAAUAAGCACCGGCUAACUACGUGCCAGCAGCCGCGGUAAUAC